rnacentral:rRNA from 1 species
GUGAUAGGCCCGUGGGGGUGGAGAUCAGGUAGGCCAGUGCCUUUAUGGAUAGACCUUGGAGUCGGGUUGUUUGUGAAUGCAGCCCAAAGUGGGUGGUAAACUCCAUCUAAGGCUAAAUACUUACACGAGUCCGAUAGCAAACAAGUACCGUGAGGGAAAGUUGAAAAGUACUUUGAAGAGAGAGUAAACAGUGCGUGAAGCCGAUCAGAGGUAAACGGGUGGAGUUGAACUGCGAGCUCUGUGAAUUCAGCUGGCGAGUUUGGUUGAGCUUGGUCAAAUCGGUCGUACACUGUAGUCUGUGUAGCAGCAGGCCUUUUCCCCUUUGGGGUUGAGGUGCGCGAUGCACUCAUCAUGUGAUGCGCGCUGCAGUGUUCGUCGGUCCGGCUCGCCAGUGCAUUUUUGCAGAGUGGUCACCACGACCGGCACUGCUGUCGUUCUGUUUUGGUUAAACCGGUUUCGCAUUGUCCUUGUGGCUCUGCUUGAUCGGGAUGGCAGGUAGCUCGUUGGUCAGCUUUCGCUGGUCUUCGAGUGUAAUCAGCUGACCUUGACAGUUCUGUGCAGUGUGUCGGGGACUGCGGCUUUAGUGCGUGUACGCGUGCUAAGUUGGCCGGCUUGCCUGGGAUCUGGUUAUUUUGUAGCCUGUGAAUGCAGGCCUAAUGAUGCCCCGGGUUUGUUCGGUUGACGGUUGCGUGUGUGGCACGAUUUCUGGGCCGAUAGUCUGUGGUGUAGUGGUAGACUAUCCACCUGACCCGUCUUGAAACACGGACCAAGGAGAGUAACAUGUGCGCGAGUCAUUGGGCGUUACGAAACCCAAAGGCGAAGUGAAAGUAAAGGUUUGGCUUGUCCAGACUGAGGUGAGAUCCUGCCGUUUCUCAUGC